rnacentral:rRNA from 1 species
CCUACGGGAGGCAGCAGUGAGGAAUAUUGGUCAAUGGACGAGAGUCUGAACCAGCCAAGUAGCGUGAAGGAUGACUGCCCUAUGGGUUGUAAACUUCUCUUAUAUGGGAAUAAAAUGUUCCACGUGUGGGCUUUUGUAUGUACCAUAUGAAUAAGGAUCGGCUAACUCCGUGCCAGCAGCCGCGGUAAUACGGAGGGUCCGAGCGUUAUCCGGAUUUAUUGGGUUUAAAGGGAGCGUAGGUGGAUGGGUAAGUCAGUUGUGAAAGUUUGCGGCUCAACCGUAAAAUUGCAGUUGAAACUGGCAGUCUUGAGUACAGUAGAGGUGGGUGGAAUUCGUGGUGUAGCGGUGAAAUGCUUAGAUAUCACGAAGAACUCCGAUUGCGAAGGCAGCUCACUGGACUGCAACUGACACUGAGGCUCGAAAGUGUGGGUAUCAAACAGGAUUAGAUACCCGGGUAGUC